GGUAACUCAGCGCUUUCUCUGCUUGUGCUCCGCGUUUGAAGUGGAGGUUGAGGACAUCUCCCGUUUGUGAAAGGGGUUGCUCAGGUGGCUACCUCCCCUGUCUCUGGUUUCUCUGCUGCGUGUGGUGGUCACAUUGAGUCGUGGUGCAAAAGCGAGGACUAGGCGUCCGUGACCUAAACCCGAUUGACGGUUGCGUUGGGGCGGAGCGCUCGUUCUCUACUUUCUGUGCUUCAGCGACAUCAUCUGCGGUGGUAUGUAAUUAAUGAUGAUGAUUCCACCGGUAUGUCUUAAAUCAUGUUACUUCUAGUAGUAAUUUGCUUCCACAUUCAUAGGUGCCUGACUCCUUGGUCAGUUGGAAUCCUCAGUCUACCAGCUGAUAGCUGUGCCGCUGUUUUGUCUCUGUCCAAUCCGUACGUCUGCUGCUAACUUUCGCUGCCCACAGCUUUGGGCCAGUGCCCUCUGGACGCGGACGUGUGUGUGUGUGUGUGUGUGUGCGUGCGUGUGUGUGUGAUCGUAGCUUUUUGUUUGUUUCCCUUCUUCUAUUUGUAUUUUGUUUUGUUUGUCUUGUCAAUCCAGUGUUUGGCUCUGUCUGGCCUACUUUAUGCAUGGCUUUUGGCUGCGCUUAUCUGGGUGUGCUGGGUUAAUUUAGCUUGCAGUGCUGUAUUUCUUUUGGGUUUGCAUGGUGUGACUUCUUUUGCUUUGCUUGCUGUGCCAUUAUUUUGCUUGCUUGGCUAUCUGCCUUAUUUGUC